AGUAGUUCACUUGUGCCAGCAAGACGCCAUUGAUUUGCUUAUAUCCAGUCGUGCUAUUAAGUUACUGAUGAAGCAAGAUCUCAGUCUCCUUUUAGUGCCACUGCGGAGCUCACGUGAUGACGAUGGUCUUAUCGCGUAUCACGAAGAUUGAUGAUAUCAUUUAUUGGAAUUUUGAUGCGUUACCUGGUCUGGCUGGUUUCCGUGCCUCAUUGCAGUAAGUUCUUCUAAUGUUCUCCUCCUAUAAAACAUCUGUUCUUCUAGUGUUCCUUGAUUACUUCUAUCUAUACUGCCCAUCUUUGGUAAGGUUUCUUCGGCUGAGUUCCUGCACAUGUAUGAAGUAAAUAAG